UACGUAGGGAGCAAGCGUUGUCCGGAAUCAUUGGGCGUAAAGCGCGCGUAGGUGGCCACAUAAGUCCGUUGUGAAAGUCAAAGGCUCAACCUUUGAAAGCCGAUGGAUACUGUGUGGCUAGAGUACGGAAGAGGCGAGUGGAAUUCCUGGUGUAGCGGUGGAAUGCGCAGAUAUCAGGAGGAACACCGAUUGCGAAGGCAGCUCGCUGGGACGUUACUGACGCUGAGACGCGAAAGCGUGGGGAGCAAACAGG
rnacentral:rRNA from 1 species